rnacentral:rRNA from 1 species
GAUGAACGCUGGCGGCGUGCCUAAUACAUGCAAGUCGAGCGAACAGACGAGGAGCUUGCUCCUCUGACGUUAGCGGCGGACGGGUGAGUAACACGUGGAUAACCUACCUAUAAGACUGGGAUAACUUCGGGAAACCGGAGCUAAAACCGGAUAAUAUAUUGAACCGCAUGGUUCAAUAGUGAAAGACGGUUUUGCUGUCACUUAUAGAUGGAUCCGCGCCGCAUUAGCUAGUUGGUAAGGUAACGGCUUACCAAGGCGACGAUGCGUAGCCGACCUGUGAGGGUGAUCGGCCACACUGGAACUGAGACACGGUCCAGACUCCUACGGGAGGCAGCAGUAGGGAAUCUUCCGCAAUGGGCGAAAGCCUGACGGAGCAACGCCGCGUGAGUGAUGAAGGUCUUCGGAUCGUAAAACUCUGUUAUUAGGGAAGAACAAAUGUGUAAGUAACUAUGCACGUCUUGACGGUACCUAAUCAGAAAGCCACGGCUAACUACGUG